rnacentral:rRNA from 1 species
CAGUAGCGUGGUAAUACGAAGGGGGCUAGCGUUGCUCGGAUUUACUGGGCGUAAAGCGUGCGUAGGCGGCUUUUUAAGUCGGAUGUGAAAUCCCUGAGCUUAACUUAGGAAUUGCAUUCGAUACUGGGAAGCUAGAGUAUGGGAGAGGAUGGUAGAAUUCCAGGUGUAGCGGUGAAAUGCGUAGAGAUCUGGAGGAAUACCGAUGGCGAAGGCAGCCAUCUGGCCUAAUACUGACGCUGAGGUACGAAAGCAUGGGGAGCAAACAGGAUUAGAUACCCCAGUAGUCCCUGUCUCUUAUACA